rnacentral:rRNA from 1 species
GAAGAAAGAGGGAGGAGGGAGGAACACAUGAAAGUCGAACGGAAAGGCACUGCUUUUGUGGGGUGGUAGAGUGGAGAAAGGGUGAGUAAAAAGUGAGUAAAAUGAUAUUGAUUUUGGGAUAACUUCAGGAAACUGGGGCUAAUACCGGAUAGGAGCUCCUGCUGCAUGGUGGGGGUUGGAAAGUUUCGGCGGUUGGGGAUGGACUCGCGGCUUAUCAGCUUGUUGGUGGGGUAGUGGCUUACCAAGGCUUUGACGGGUAGCCGGCCUGAGAGGGUGACCGGCCACAUUGGGACUGAGAUACGGCCCAGACUCCUACGGGAGGCAGCAGUGGGGAAUAUUGCACAAUGGGCGGAAGCCUGAUGCAGCAACGCCGCGUGCGGGAUGACGGCCUUCGUUUUGUAAACCGCUUUCGCCUGUGACGAAGCGUGAGUGACGGUAAUGGGUAAAGAAGCACCGGCUCCCUACGUC